GAAUGAUGACACAGGGGACUGUUUUGUCAGAUGUCACCAACAUUUAUCAGAAGAGGUUAAAAACAAUCACUAAGCUGGAUGAGGGAGUAUUAUUUGAAGCCCAUCAGAGUAUAAAAGAUGAAUGAUACUGAAGUCUCCAAAAGAGCAGAAAUUGUAUCCAUCUAAUUUAGUAAUAUAUCCUCAGUAUCUGACUGAAGGCCAUCUCUGAUUCAAUGUGGCAGGGACCACACAGGGUGCAAACACCAGAAGAUUCUGAGAUCUCAUUCAGGCCAAUGCUGUCAAUCUGCAGAGGAGAAAACGGACUCAAGAAUUACAUCACCUGCAGUCCCACCUCUAGGAUUUAAUAUUCUACACUGAGAUCAUCAAGAAAUGUUUCCAACUCUCAAACACAAAGAAGAAAGAAAUGAAUUCUUUUGGCGGUUAUCGUGACUUCAUCUUUUCCUAUGCAUUUCCUUUGAAAACACAAUUCCAUGAUUGAGAAAGAGAUUCAGAAACAGAGACAUUGUGAAUCCUGAGUCUCAAAUGCUUAUACAAUCAACAAACUGAAUGAAACCCAUUGAAGAAAUGCUGAGGUCCAAAGGGCAAUCAAAUGACAAAGUGUCACUCUUCCAAGGAGUACACUCUGAAUAUAAUGGAAACAUUUCUGCACAAACUAAGGAAAUUAAUGUAUGGAAUUAUUUCUGCUAUAUUUCUAAACUCCAGAUAAAGUAUUUUAUUUUGUAUGUGACACAGCAACAUAGUCCAAAAAUAAUUCACCACCACUGUUCUGUUGUAAAUUUAAAUGUGCACACUGAAAUUUUUCUAUGUAUUCUUUUAAGAUACUUGAAGGUUUUCUUUGGAAUGUAUAAAGAUUUGUAAAAUAGGUUUUUCUCUAUAAUAAAAUAUAGUUUGUGCCAA